rnacentral:rRNA from 1 species
CUCAAAGGAAUUGACGGGGACCCGCACAAGCGGUGGAGCAUGUGCAGUUUAAUUCGAUGAUACGCGAAGAACCUUACCCGGUCUUGACAUCUCCGAAUUCGAACGAUCUAGGGAUCGAUCCCUGUCUGCUUGCAGAUUCUUACACAGGUGCUGCAUGGCUGUCGUCAGCUCGUGCACGUGAGAUGUUCGGUUAAGUCCUGCAACGAGCGCAACCCUGGUAAUUAGUUGCAUACAAUUCCCUUUGGGCACUCUAAAGAGACUGCCAUGACCCAAUUAGGAGGAAGGUGGGGAUGACGUCAAAUCAUCAUGGCCCUUACGUCCAGAGUCUACACACGUGCUACAAUGGAAGUUAACCAAGAGCGGGCAUUUGGUGACCUGGGAGCUAUCCUAACAAUACCUCCCAGUUCGGAUUGUAGUCUGCAACUCGACUGCAUGAAGCUGGAAUCGACUAGUAAUCGUCUGUUCAGCUCGUGGCCCGGUGAAUACGUUCGCGGGCCUUGUACACACCGACCGAAUCAUUCCAUGGAAGUUGGUUUCUCAAGAAGGGGCGUUCCAUAUAAAGCCAGGUUAAGACCGCAUUCAUGCAA